rnacentral:SRP_RNA from 1 species
GCCGGGCGUGAUGGCGCAGUGCCUCUAGUCCCAGGCUGAGGCUGGAGGAUCUCUGGAGUCCAGGAGUUCUGGGCAGUAGUGUGCUAUGCCGAUCGGGUGUCCGCACUAAGUUCAGCAUCAAUAUGGUGACCUCCCGGGAGCGAGGGAUCACCAAGUUGACUAAGAAGGGGUAAACCGGCCCAGGUCAGAAACGGAGCAGGUCAAAAUUCCCGUGCUCAUCAGUAGUGGGAUCGCGCCUGUGAAUAGCCACUGCACUCCAGCCUGGGCAACAAAGUAAGAUCCCAUCUCU